AGUUAUAUGCUUGUCUCAAAGAUUAAGCCAUGCAUGUCUAAGUACACACUCUCGAACAGUGAAACCGCAAAAGGCUCAGUAUAUCAGUUAUGAUUUAUUAGAUCGUAUACAUAGUUACAUGGAUAACUGUGGUAAUUCUAGAGCUAAUACAUGCACAUAAUCACGGACCGCAAGGAACGUGUGCUUUUAUUAGAUUAAAAUCAAUCGAUACAUUAAGGUAUAUUUAUAUACUGUAUCGUUAAUAAGAUGAAUCUGAAUAACAUGUAGAUCGCAUGGUCCAGUACCGGCGAUAGAUCUUUCAAAUGUCUGCCCUAUCAACUAUUGAUGGUAGUAUCUAGGACUACCAUGGUUGCAACGGGUAACGGGGAAUCAGGGUUCGAUUCCGGAGAGGGAGCCUGAGAAACGGCUACCACAUCUAAGGAAGGCAGCAGGCGCGUAAAUUACCCAAUCCCAGCACGGGGAGGUAGUGACGAAAAAUAACAAUACAGGACUCAAUCCGAGGCCCUGUAAUUGGAAUGAGUACACUUUAAAUCCUUUAACAAGGAACAAUUGGAGGGCAAGUCUGGUGCCAGCAGCCGCGGUAAUUCCAGCUCCAAUAGCGUAUAUUAAAGUUGUUGCGGUUAAAACGUUCGUAGUUGAACUUGUGUCAAGCACAGGUGGUACACCGUAACUGGGUUCGUACAUCAUCUUGAUGCUAUGACGUAUUACUGUAGUGGUUUAAACGUAAGUUUAUCCGCGUAAUAAAUCUAAAUUAGUGCUCUUUACCGAGUGCUGGUCUAGAACAGUACAAUUACUUUGAACAAAUUAGAGUGCUUAAAGCAGGCCAUUUGUGCCUAAAUAUUCUCUGCAUGGAAUAAUGGAAUAAGACGUCUGUUCUAUUUUCAAUUGGUUUUUAGAUCAAGACG
rnacentral:rRNA from 1 species